GGCUCAGGACGAACGCUGGCGGCGUGCCUAACACAUGCAAGUCGAGCGGAGUCAGUAAGAGGAAGUUUCGGAUGGAAUCUGUUGAUUAGCGGCGGACGGGUGAGUAACGCGUGAGCGACCAACCUUGCACAGGGGGAUAACGGACCGAAAGGUUCACUAAUACCGCAUGAGACCACGGUGUUGCAUGACACAGAGGUCAAAGGAGCAAUCCGGUGCAAGACGGGCUCGCGUCCGAUUAGGUAGUUGGAGGGAUAACGGCCCACCAAGCCUAUGAUCGGUAGCCGACCUGAGAGGGUGAUCGGCCACAUUGGAACUGAGAUACGGUCCAAACUCCUACGGGAGGCAGCAGUGGGGAAUAUUGGGCAAAUGGGGGAAACCCUGACCCAGCAACGCCGCGUGAAGGAAGAAGGUUUUCGGAUUGUAAACUUCUGUCCUUGGUGAAGAGAAGAAGACGGUAGCCAAGGAGGAAGCCCCGGCUAACUACGUGCCAGCCGCCGC
rnacentral:rRNA from 1 species